AAUCAACGCUGGCGGCGUGCCUCAGACAUGCAAGUCGAACGAUUAAACUUUCCUUCGGGGAAGAUAUAGAGUGGCGCACGGGUGAGUAACACGUAAGUAAUCUACCCUUGGGUGGGGAAUAACAUCGGGAAACCGAUGCUAAUACCGCAUAAUGCAGCGGCUUCUUAUGAAGACAGUUGUUAAAGCAUUUAUGUGCCUGAGGAGGAGCUUGCGGCAGAUUAGCAGUUGGUAAGGUAAUGGCUUACCAAGGCGACGAUCUGUAGCCGACCUGAGAGGGUGGUCGGUCACACUGACACUGAAUAACGGGUCAGACUCCUACGGGAGGCAGCAGUCGGGAAUUUUGGGCAAUGGGCGCAAGCCUGACCCAGCAACGCCGCGUGAAGGAUGAAGUAUUUCGGUAUGUAAACUUCGUAAAAAUAAGGAAGAAUAAAUGACGGUACUAUUUGU
rnacentral:rRNA from 1 species